CACGUAGGGGGCAAGCGUUGUCCGGAAUUAUUGGGCGUAAAGAGCUCGUAGGCGGUUUGUCGCGUCGACUGUGAAAACCUACAGCUUAACUGUGGGCUUGCAGUCGAUACGGGCAGACUUGAGUUCGGUAGGGGAGACUGGAAUUCCUGGUGUAGCGGUGAAAUGCGCAGAUAUCAGGAGGAACACCGGUGGCGAAGGCGGUUCUCUGGGCAUGUCCUGACGCUGAGGAGCGAAAGCGUGGGGAGCAAACAGG
rnacentral:rRNA from 1 species